CACGCUGUAAACGAUGAUUACUCGUUGUCGGCGAUAUACAGUCGGUGGCUAAGCGAAAGUGAUAAGUAAUCCACCUGGGGAGUACGAUCGCAAGGUUGAAACUCAAAGGAAUUGACGGGGGCCCGCACAAGCGGAGGAGCAUGUGGUUUAAUUCGAUGAUACGCGAGGAACCUUACCUGGGCUUAAAUGUAGAUUGCAUGAUGGGGAAACCUGUCUUUUCUUCGGAACUAUUUACAAGGUGC
rnacentral:rRNA from 1 species